GUGCCGUGGUAUUUGGCCUCUACGAGCAUUGGGUAGGAAGUUCAUUGAUUGCUUCGUAACAACUCCUACAACAAUUUUCUGAGGCUCUCUCCUAGACAACAUCGCUCGUAAUGGACGGUUCAAGCCAAAUUAUCCAUUAUUGUUCCCAAAGUUUACAAUUAAACUAUCGAUCAAAACUGGCAGUGAUUUCUCCAGCAGCCUGAGCUUCGAAGCAGCUGAAUUACAUCAGAACACGAGUGUGUGGAGCCAGAAGGUGACACAGACAGACAGAUACCAGACAGACAGUGGCACCUUCUACCAACCACCCUGGGAUCCAGCCUUUGGCAAUUUUCCUUGAGCCGAGAAGCAGGCUGCCACCCCAGCUAUGUAGAGUGGGUUUGAGGUUUUAAUAGCCAGAGGUGCCCGCAAUUUGCAACCUCUAUCCCUGGCUGUAAAAAUUGGAGUUUAACAGGUUCGGCUCCGUGGGGAACCAACCUCAGCUUUUAGGCUCCUUCAGACACUGCAGAAUGCAUCUUUUCUGGGGAAUUCCACAAUAAAAUGACUGUUAUUUAUCAUUACAAACCUCUUUAUCAUUUAGUCAAUAAAAGGCCUCUCUCUCUCUCA